UGGUGUAGCUCAAUUGGUAGAGCAACUGAUUUGUAAUCAGUCGGUUAUGAGUUCAAGUCUCUUCACU
rnacentral:tRNA from 1 species